AUUUAUUCACGAGACCUCAAACAAAGCCCAAACCCAAGAAAAGAGAAAAGAAAGAAAGAAAGAAAGAAAGAAAUCGCCUAACUUGAGAUUGAGAAGUUUCGAGGGAGGCACCCUUGUUUUAGUUUUGUAAUACCCCUUUUCUUUAGAUGAAUUUUGGUACAUUAUUAAAGGUCAAUAAUAAUAAUAACAAUAAUAAGAAGAGGAACUUGCACUGCUCUUUGAAACGGAGGGAGGCAGGCAGCUGUUGUCUAACACUGCAUGUUGUUGGUCAAAAAAGAAAGCACCGUUGUUCAUUGUUGUAUUACAUUUUCCACAAUUAAUCUUCUCUAACCCUAGAGACUUGUCUACUCGUUGUUUUUGUUUUUAUGCAAACGACUUUCCAUUGUUUCUCCUUUGAUUUUCUUCUUCUUUUUCUUCUUUUUCUUUCCCUGGAGUACUACUGCUGGUCUCAUAGAUCUCAAAUCAUUGUAAAUAUAAAUAGAUCACAUGGAAAUUGGAUCCGCAGCUGGUAUUAUUAGUACUGAAGAAGAGCAGAUGAGUAAAGGUAAACAUCUCCCUUUCUCAUACUCAUCGUCUUCGUCUCCAUCUUCUUCUUCCUCUCAGCACAAGCCCCAUCAUCUGCUUGCUCUCUCUCAAAUCUAUGAUAAGAACCACCAUCCUCAAGUGGGUUCUUGGCUGGGAAGCAAGUACGACCCUGAGCAGGAAGAUGCCGGAAGUGCUGCAGGCAUCUUCGAAGAAGAGGAAGGCAGUGGCGAAGGAGAGUGCGGUGUUGUGAUACAAAAGGAACAUAUGUUUGAUAAGGUGGUCACCCCGAGUGAUGUGGGAAAGCUGAAUCGGUUAGUGAUCCCAAAGCAGCAUGCAGAAAAGUACUUUCCAUUAGAUUCAUCAACCAAUGACAAGGGUCUUCUUUUGAAUUUCGAGGAUAAAACUGGUAAAGCUUGGAGAUUUCGCUACUCUUACUGGAAUAGCAGCCAAAGCUAUGUUAUGACCAAAGGUUGGAGUCGUUUUGUUAAGGAUAAGAAGCUUGACGCCGGUGAUAUUGUCUCCUUUCAGAGAGGGGUAGGUGAGGCUGCUAAAGAUCGUCUCUACAUUGAUUGGAGACGCCGUCCUGAUGGUCCUCAUCACCAACCUACUCACCGUCAUCAGCAGCACCAUUUAUCGUCUAUACCUUGGAGCCCUCUACUGAUGCGGCCGCCACCAGUGCCUAGGGACCACUUUCAUUUGUCCAAUCCCAAUUAUUACAACAGUAGUGGUGGAGGUGGAGGUGCAUCUGCUUACGGUUUCGGUUAUGGUUACAAUAGCAGCAAUAACUAUAAUUACAAUAGCAAUGUUGGUUCAUCUAAUUCAGGGACAAUAAUAUACAUGAGAUCCCCACAACAGGCUGGAAUGGUGCAAUGGCAGCAAGCAGCUGCAAGCAGUGGUGGCUUUAUGGAGCCAAUGGUGUUUGAGUCGGUGCCGGUGGUCCAAGGGAAAGCCGCUGCUAAGAGAUUGAGGCUCUUUGGUGUUAACAUGGAUUGCCCCAUAUCUGAUUCUGAUCAUGAAUGUGACAAAUUAUCCACUUCCACACCUAUACCUGCUAUGGCAGCAGCAUUACAGCAGCCCUCUCAUCAUCCGCUUCAAUUAAGGCUGUACAAUGGCACGCCUUUGCCUUCCCCGCAAUUCCUUCACAAAGGUUGUUGUUCUUGUCGCUGCUUCCUUGGGCAGGCUCGCCAGGUUUUGCAGAGAUUGUUGCAGAGCUUUUAAUGUUUUCCUUCUUCCCCUCUUAAUUCUUAUUCUUCUCCCGCAACUUCUCAUCAUAAUUUCGCCACAGCCUCAUUACCGAUUACUCUAAUCUACAAAAGGAUGCCCUAGAUUAAAGGCCUAUCUUUAUUCGCGAGGUUUCUUCUUUCUUCUUCGUCCAUCUCAUUGCUUUUCAUUGGCUGCACGACUUAAUUACCAUGGACUAGUCCCAAGAGGUGAAAUUAACCGACCAAGGAUGAUCGCCAACAAUUACUAUCAUUUGCUUAGGGCUUAUAAGUAGGCUGUGCAUCAUCAUCUUUGUCACUUCUUUUUCAAUAGCAUCGGUACGACGCCAGAAAGUUAGCUAGUGGAGCUGUAUAGUAUAGGGAUAGUUCGCAACAGAUGAAGUCGCAUAACUAGCUAUCCCAUUAUUUGAUAUUUAAAUUAUUGUCCAUGGACCUUUCCCCAAUUCAAGUGGCCAGAAGAAAGUGUCCUAGUUUUCGUGAGCCACAAAUAAACCUUUCUUCAUGAAAAAUAAAUAUAAAAAAAUGUUUCUACGUUCUCCUCUUUCCUCGAUUGUUAAACAGAUGAGGUCUGAGUUUUGAUUGUGCGGUAAGCUUUUCUUCCAUUAAACUUAGCCCGAGAUCCAACCGUAACAUAAUGUUAAUAUGCGAGUGUUUAUGUGAAGAACAAAUCUGCUGCUAGUUCUUGAUUAAAUGUGGUUUUGUUCCAGUU